GGUGGCCUAGUGGUUAGAGCAUCCGCCUUGCAUGCGGGAGGUCACGGGUUCGAACACCGCCGAGUUAUACCA